rnacentral:misc_RNA from 1 species
AUCUGAUGCUCCAAUUCUCAGAUCUCCAUUAAAUACGAAAGGCACAAACUAUAUACAAAGCCUGAUACAUCAAUACAAGUACGAAGAGUCGAAUGACGAAUAUAAGUCUAAAUCUAUUUAGUAUGAGGGGAGAAAAUGUGGGCGAUGGUAAGUUCUCACGUUUGAAUUAACGUGCGAAAAAAAAUGUUGGCUUUUUCUACUUUUAAUCGUUUGUGAAAAAAAGCAGUGCCCACUCCAACUGAUUGAGGGUGACUAGCAUCUUUAUGGUUUAUUUGUCAUGCUAGAGUAGCUCUUUUGCCUUUUGCAUCCCUUGACUGAGCAGCAGCAGAUUUCUUUGAAUCCAAAAACUGGCUAUAAAUACCAUAUAGUCUCUGCUUCUCAGAUUCAGAAGUAGAUGGUCUUGCUUUGGAAGCAACAGACUUCAACAAGGCAUCAGUUAUAAUUGGCAUUCUCCCAGGUAUGCUGCUGUCAGCACGCAGGUGUUCAUGAACUGCUGCAAGCUGUGCAUCUGACAGAAGAGCUUGUAGGUCGGCUCCGCUAAAUCCUUCUGUCAUAUAAGCUAUGGCAUCCAAGUCAACAUCAUUGUCCAAUGGCAGCUUUCUAGAAAGAACGUUAAGGAUGUCCAGCCUCUCCUGCUGAGAUGGAAAACCACAGAAAAGAAGUCGAUCUAACCUACCAGGCCUAAGCAAUGCAGCAUCAAGUAGAUCUGGUCUACUUGUUGCAGCAAAUACGAAAACACCAGUUAAUACUUCAACGCCAUCUAAUUCAGUGAGAAAUUGAUUAACAACACGAUCAGUAACUCCAGUAUUGUCAUGCCCUCUUUUUGGGGCAAUAGAAUCAAAUUCAUCAAAAAAGAGAAGGCAUGGUGCUGCUGCUGCAGCUUUUGAAAAAAUAUCACGAACAGCUUGCUCAGAAGCACCAAUAUAUUUGUUCAACAGUUCAGGCCCCUUCACUGAUAUAAAUCGUAGCGAACAUGCAGCAGCCGCUGCACCAACAAUGUGAGUCUUGCCACAACCAGGAGGACCAUAUAAGAGAACAUUUGAUCGCAACCUUAAAGGAGCUUGAGCAAAUACAUUUGGGAACUUUGAAGGCAAUUCAAUCAUCUCUUUAAUAGCAUUUGUUAUGUCCUUCAGACCACCAACAUCAUCCCACCCAGCACGACCACCUUCGGGAGCAGAUUUAGUAAUGUCACGCAUGGCAACAGGAAGGAAAUCAUGCAUUGCUCGAGAAAAAUCAUCCCUGACCAAAGUAGGAACCUCAUGCUUCUCCGAAGUAUAAUGAGAAGGCAGAAAGCGUCCAAUUGCAGCAUGUACAGUUCUAUCAACCAAUAUUUCCAGAUCAUAUGCAUCAUAACCAUCACAUUUGGCAGCUACAUCUGACAAGAUAUGUUCAGAACACUGAAGGGAACGCCUCUGAAUUUCAUGCCUUAGUAUAGCCUGGCGUUCUGAGGCAGCAGGAGCAGGCAGUUGCACAUGAAAGUCGAACCGACCUGAUGAGCUUAAUGACUGUGGAAUAUUCUCCAGAGUCUGCACGGAAGCUAUAAAAGCAAGCGGUCCAAUUCCACAUGAGCACUUCCUUUUUUCCCCAUAUUCGUCCAUAAUUUCUGUGAGAAAUUUUGUAAGAGCAACAACAGAGGUUAAAGAUUGAUGUCCUUCUGAGUCAGAAGAGGACGAAAUAAUGCUAUCAAGAUCAUCAAAGAUGAUAAGAGAAGGUGCAUGAUCCAAAGCUUCAGAUAUGUAAGCAGAAAGUGCUUGACGAAUGGUUGAGGCUUUUUCUAGAGCAAGUCCAGAGCACCCUACAAACACUGUGUGUGCUAAAAGGUCUUCACAUUCUUCAAGGGAUUUUGCAACUGCUCUUGCUAAAAUAGUCUUACCAGAACCACGAGGUCCAUAAAUCAGAACAUGCCCAGGGAGAGGAAGAUUGUAAGUAGUGAAUAAUAUCCCAGAAGUAGGAGACAACAACACCUUAAUUCUGUUAAUUACAUCAGUAGCAGUAGUCCCCAUCCAGCUCAAGGAAGAUAGAUUUGCACUAAAGCCUUUCACAGAGUUUCUCUCCUUGAGAGUAUAAAGUGAUACAGGGUCACCCAACUUUAGUUUUCCAAACAAUUCCAUGCCUGCUGAAUUUUCCUUUUUGUUUUCAUCAAAGGCAAGCUUGUAUGAGUUAACUUUUCUGCCAUGUAGCGAUUCCCCAGAAAUGGUCAGCAAAAAGAGAAAUUCAAGUGGCAUCUCACCAAUGUUUUUUCUGUUUUCGAGUGAUCCAUUUGAAUCCUGUACCUUAACCUUCCUAUCAGACUCAAAGUCACAUCCUUUCACUUCAAAGUGAAGUACAGUUUCUUUUCCUAAAAUUAGUGAAUUAGCUUCCAAUCCAGAAGCUGAAGCAAUAGCAUCAAGUUGUGCAAGAAACCAAGCUUGAAGAAGUCUUCUUAAUCCCUGUCUAUUGUCAGAAUGAAAAGUGGUAUCUACAUCCCCUUUACAAGGAAAGUCAGAUGAAAGAGCAACAAGAAUUUUCUCAUGGAUUGAACAAUCUACAGUACCCAUAUAGGUGCCUGAGAUGGUUUCUGAAAGCAUGUUACUUGGCUUUUGACUUCUAUGGCUAUCAAGCACUUCUAGACCAUUAUUCACAAUAGGCUUAUCCUGUCCAGGCAUCUUAAAGUAGCAAGGAGAAAGUGACAGAGAGGAAAUAUCUUCCUUCAAAUCUGAACUGCAAAUCUUUAAAUAAACCCAUGAGUGUAGGCUUGCUUUUAAAUACAGACAAAGAGACUGUGCUAUCAUUAGAUGUCCUUCACCCACUGAAUCUGAAAACAAAAUGCGAACCAUUGCUUGGCGAUAUUCUUUCUUGUCAAUCAAAGUGUCAUUGUUAACUUCCUUAAGGGCAGAAGAGAUUUUCUUCUUCAUAACAUCGCUUUCAGGUGUUCUUAUGAUCUCUUUUGAUGAUAAUCUUGGUACAACAGUAACCAACUGAAGAGAGUUCAGUGAAAGUUUUUUGGCAGUUUCAGGAUGAAUGUAAGCAAUAGAAGUGAGCACAACACCCAGCUCAACACCUUUGACCUCACUUUUGUGGAAGAAUCUUCUAUCUGGAUCCUGAAGACGCAAUAAUGCCUUUGCAAUAUUAAACUUUUCAUUAGAUGACUGUACCAAAAUAUCUUGUUUGUUCACUUCGGUUUUGCGUCUCUUUGGAGCAACUGCAACUUCAGUUCCUGGCACAAGUUGAACUGAGAAUAAUCUCAUGGGUCAGUCAUAACUCUGUAAACUAUGAGAAAUCCAAUUUAUGCAAUCAACCAUGUUUCUCUAAUACAACACACUGCACAAACUAAGAACAUAUAAAUUUUUUGUAAAUAAAAUCCACUUGUUACAAAAAUAUAUAAAGGUAAAUUCGUUAACUUCAUUACUGGGAAUAUAAAGAAAUAGGUUUCUUUACAUUUGAGAAUCUGACAAGAAGUGAAACCCAAGAAAAGUCAACUGACUCACUACCUAAAACCAUAUCCAAAGGCAGCAGAUUUUAACAGCCUGCAUUACAGGGUACAGAGGAAGAAGUGCAACAAUUUCUUUGAGGCAACAAAGCACUUGGAGACUCCAGUGCAAGAAAAUUGAAAUUACCAUGAAUUGCAAUUUCUUUGGGGAAAAUUAUGCAAAAAUUGAAUCUUGAAUUCAUAAAUUGAUGCAGGGGUUCUUAUAAAUGGAGACAAUUUACCAUGUAAUUCAUAAUUAGAUCAACUAGCAAUCCACUCUGAAACUAAAUUUUACAAAGUGCGAUGAUGGCAUUGAUAACAUGGGCCUCAUUAUGAAGUGAUACAACAAGUACUACCACUACUACUACUACUACUACCACCAACAACAGAGGUUAUGAAUGAGGAAAAAUGGUAAUUAGUUUUCAUGGUAACAUCAUCAUGUUGCAUAGCUUCAAUGGAACUCAGUACCAAAUGAACAAAUUUCAUGAGAGGGGAAGCUGCACAUCAUCUUACCCAC